CUAUCUUGAUUUUUUACAAGAGCCAUGAGGUGAUAUUUCUUUGUGGUUUCAAUGUUCAUUUCCUAGAUGUCCAGUGAUUUUGAGCAUCCUUAUGUAUCUGUUGGCCAUUUCUAUAUCUUCUUUGGAAAAUUGUAUAGUCAGGCCCUUUACCCAUUUUAAAAUUGGAUUUUUCUUUUGCUAUUACAUUUAAUGUACAUUUAUUUCCUUAUGAAUAUAUAGUAUUGUUAGCUUAUAAUUGCAUAUGUGGUUUACAAAUAUUUUCUCCAAUUAUAGGGUUGCCUUUUUAAUUUGUUGUUUCCUUUGCUGUGAAGAAAACUUUUGUUUGAUGUAGCUUGCUUGUUUAUUUUUACAUUUUGUAGACUCUGCUUUUGAUGUGAACUCCAAAAAAUUGCCAAGACCAGUGUUAUGAUGCUUUUCCCGCUGUUUUCUUCUAGGAGUAUUAUGAUGUCAUGUCUUCAGGUUUAUGACUAAUCGAUUUUAAAUGGGUUUUUAAUUUGGGAUGACCAGCACCCCACCAGGGUAGGUUUCUGCUCAGGAGGUGUGAGCCACCUGAGAAAAUAAAAAGUCUGAAAUAAUUAGUAAGUUAAUAGAGACAGAACCAGAAAUUAGGUAAAACAGAGCGCCUAAUAGGACUUCCAGUCCUGAUAGGAGCUGGAACUGAACAACUGAAAAGUGGCCCAUAUUCUUUAUUUAAGAGGGCAUACAUUAAAGGCAGGGAUAAGGUCUCAUUGGGAAGAGUCUUGCUUCUGGGUGUGGCAGGGGUUUUGCCACAAACAGGUCGAUUGGCAUUAUGGCAGCCACACCUAUUUCCGAGAGGCUGUGUGACUCCAGUGGGUCACCCCAUCUCUAAUGCUCUGCUGAACUUAUAAUGGAGCUGGGAAGGAAGUCACAUGAACCAGGUCUUCUCAAACCAGCAGGGUUGCUGCUGGGAGUUCCUGGUACCAGGCUUUCUUACCUAAUGGCUUCAACGUUGUUUUAGUUCAUGCACAGUUCACAGAUGGGUCAUGGAUGGCUUCCGGCAGGUUUUUGAGUGUGGUAUGAGGUGGUCCAACUGAAUUCUUUUGCAUGUGGAUAUCUAGUUUUCUCAUUACCAUUUUUUUUGAACAAAGUAUCAUCUGCAUCUUAUAUUCUUGGGAUGUUUGUCAACAUUAGUUGUCCAUGUGAUCAUGGGUUUCUUUUAUGCCAAUAUCAUACUGUUUGUUUCCCAACCUCCCACUCCCCAGUACUAGGAAUUGAACUGAGUGGUGCUCUAUCAUUGGGCUGUUCCUGGAUUUUUAUUAACUGUGAGGCAGGUCUCAUUAAGAUUCUGAGGCUGGGCUCAAACUUGCAAUCUUCCUGACUCAGCCUCAUCACACUUUGAAAAGUGUGAUGCUUCCAGUUGUUGUUCAAGAUUUUAUUUAUUUGUUUGUUUAUUUAUUUUGGCCUUUUGGAGCCUCUUGUGGUUUGGAAUGAAUUUUAGGAAUUUUAAAAUAUUUUUGUGACAAAUGCCAUUGGUAUCUUGAAGAGGAUGGCAUUAAAUGCCUAGAUCACUUUUGGCAGUAAUGGGUAUUUCCACAAUAUUAACAACUCCAGUACAUGAACAUCUGUUUACUUGUAUCUUUAAUUUCCUUCAUCAGUGUUAUGUUGGUUUCAAUUUAUGAACCUUCCAUCUUCCUAGUUAAGUGUAUUAGUAUUUUACUAUUUUUGAUGUUAUUGUCAGUGAAGUUGUUUUCUUAAUUUUUCAGAUUGUUAAUUGUAUAGUAACCACUGCUGACAUUCUGUAUUGAUUUUGUAUCCUGUCACUUUCCCGAAUUUGUUUAUUAUUUCUAACAGUUUUUAAAUAGGUUAUUAGGAUUUUAUGUAUUCAAGAUCAUGUCAUUUGAAAUUUUCCUUCUUUCCUACUUGAAUGCAUUUUAUUUCUUCUUGUUUAGUUGCUGUGGCUAGAACUUGUAGCAUUAUGGCAAAUAGAAGUUGCAAGCAUGGAUACUCUUGUUCUUGAUCUUAAAAGAAAGCUUUGAGCUUUUUGUCAUUUAGUUAUGAUGGUAGCCAUUGCUUGUUAUAUAUAGUCAUUAUGAUAGGUACAUUUAUUCUAUACCCAAUUUGUUG
rnacentral:lncRNA from 1 species